AUUGUCUUUUUAAUUUGGAAGAUUUGCACCUAAAUGAAUGAACCAUGAGGGGAAUGCAUCUGGACACAAAUGUAUCAGGACACACACAAAACGCGCAGCCUAGCUCUCAUCAUUUAAUUUCAUAUUUUUCAAUGUUCGAGGAUGCAUGUAUGUAUGUAUGCACCUCUCACUUGUUUUCAAUUUCAUACAGUUAGUGUAUGCCAGACCACCCGUUACAUAAAUUGGCCCAUGACAUUUGAUUUGUCUGAAUUUGAGCAAUUGAUUAAAAAAUUUCUUUAAUUUCUCUAAAUUAUGUUGACUCAUAUACAACUUAACCAGAGUGCAAAACAAGUUGGACGCGAGAGUGAAAAAGAGGGGCAGAGGCGUUGUGUCAUGAAGACAACCAAUUACUGGGUCUGGCGACCUGCACUUCAAGCACAUGCAUAGUGAAUCGACUAUGUGAAGGGAAAAUUGUUAGACCAAUACUUGUCUCGGACACCAGG